rnacentral:lncRNA from 9 species
CAUAAUCAUGUUUUAGAAUAACCCCAAACUAGAAACAAUCCAAAAGCCCAUCAACAGCAGAUGGAUAAAUAAAUUGUGAUCUGGAGUUCCCAUCGUGGCACAUGAAUCCGACUAGUAUCCAUGAGGACGCAGGUUCAAUCCCUGGCCUUGCUCAGUGGGUUAAGGAUCUAGCAUUGCUGUGGCUGUGGCGUAGGCCAGCGUCUGCAGCUCCACUUCGACCCCUAACCAUGUGCCAUGGCUGUGGCCCUAAAAAGACAAAAAAAGCAAAACACAAAUAAAUUGUGAUGGGGUCUCUCACGAGGAUACUACCUAACAGUGACUGUGGUUACCUGCAACAACCUGGGUGACUCUUACAAAUGUUAAGGGGGAAAGAGGCAGACCCCCAAAGAUAGCUCUCCUGGCAUCCGUUUAUAUCACGUUCAAAAAACAGGCCAAGCAAAACUGGGCUUUAGGGGUGCUUGCUUCGAUGGUAACACUGUAAAGGAAAAAGGGAGUGAUGGGUAUCGAAGUCCAGGUCAAGGUCAUCCCUGGUCUUAGGAGAGGUGAGUGGUGGUGGGGAUAUUCAGAGCAGGGCAGCUUCUGCCAUCCUGCCAUCCAUCUGUUUAUCGGCUUGGGUGGUGGUUUAUGAUAAUUCAUUAAGCCGCAUGUUUUUACUUCAUGGGGGUUCUCUCUGUUUAUAUUGUAUUUCAGAAUACAAAAGAGUGGGGUUAGUAGAUGCAAACCAUUCCAUUUAGACUGGAUAAACAACAGGUCCUACUGUAGAGCACGGGGAACUAUAUACAGUCUCCUGAGAUAGACCAUGAUAGAAAAGAAUAUUAAAAGAAGAAUGUAUGUCUAUAUAUACAUAUAUCUAUGUAUGACUGAGUCACUUUUCUAUAGAGCAGAAAUUGGUACAGCAUUGUGAAUCAACUAUACUUUAAUGGAAAAAAAUAUAUACAAAAGGUUUAAAAAAAAAAUCUCCCAGGGAGUAGGAGACGGUGUCUUAAGGAGCCUAAGUAAGAAGCUGCCAUUUAAGCUUUCCACCCACUGUUUGAGGUCUCUCUCAAACACAGCCUCCCCCGGGAACACGCUUCGAUGCUGCCCCAGAACUGGGAAGUGUUUGAUUAUGAAUCAUGCGUGUACAAGUGGCAUACUCCAAGCACUGCUGUAACACGUAGCCGUGAACUGACACCUAUCAUUAGCCCACGCGUAGCACACUGUCCUGGCCUCCCGUGCCUGUGUGUCUUGUGUCGACUUCCCUUAGUGGCAGAUGGGCCUUCAGUUCCUCGCUGCUCUUGUGCUGCGUUGCCCCAGUGUCUAGUAGAGGGCUCUGCACCAGCCAAAGCUCAGGAUGUCUGUUAAAGAUGAAAUUACUCAGGUGGUGAGACGUUCUCAAGGGAGGGCAGGAGAGAAGAAAAUGUGUUUCUAGGCUCAAAAGAAGCACAUUUGAAUAAACCAGUGACCCCAGUGGUAGUCUUCUAAUCACAGAACCUCAGCUGGGUUCCUGUCCCAAAGAUUUCGAUCAACCAGUCAUGAUGAGCCACUGUGAGCAUCUGGGAGUUUGGGGAAAUGGCACCUAGGUACAUGGCAGAAGCGCUGAGCUUCUAACAGUAGUUUUUUGAGGUCUCUGGUCAGCUGUGUGGUCCCUGGGCCAGCCUGCGAUGGUGACUGUUCUUAGGCUAGGCAGUUGCUGUGUGUGACUUAUUAGGCUGUCACAAGUCCUCUCUCCCAUACUGGCCUGGAGGCAGAUGCCUUCUCUAUUGGUUUGCCUUGGAUCAGUCUUAACUGAUGCCAUAUUCUUCCCUCCCGUUUUCCAUAAUUCUUCAGAGGGACAUGCGCAGGCCUGGGCUCUGUGGUUUCCUCUCUAAGCAAAAGCCAGGUCACCUUCCUUUGGCAUCAUGGGUCAGCCCAGGGAUCUAUGUCUCCGGGCUCGGCCCAUGACAGGGGUUCAGAGAAUUAUCUGUUAGGUGUCUCAUCUUUCUGUAGCUCCAAUUGGACCCCUAGCCUGGGAUCCUCCAUAUGCCGCAAAUGCGGCCCUAAAAAAAGAAUGUCAAGGUCACAAAGACCAGGAGAGACUAAGGAGAUGUGAUCCUGGAUUGGAUCCUGGAACGGAAAGUGGACACUAAUAGAAACACCGGAGAAGUCUGAACUAACUGUGUAGUGUAGUUAAUAGUAUUGUACCAGAGUUAAUUUCUUUGUUUUGAUGAUUUUUCCUAAGGUUAUAUAAGCUGUUAAUUACUAUAAGGGGAAGCCAGGAAAAGAUGUACGGGAACUCUGUACUAUUUUUGCAGUUCCCCUGAAAGUCUAAAAUUAUCUCAAACGAAAAUAUUAAAAAAAAUAAAAGGAAAAGAACGGCAUGUUGUGUGGCACAUGUUCAUCAGGGCUGAGUAAAUAUGCAUCCCCUCACUCCCUCGGGUCAUUAUGGGGACCCCGGAGAGCCCCACGUGCCCCCACAGGACAGGGGUGUCUGAGGAGGGAAAGUGUGGAGAGUCCCCUGGACUCAGAGGAGGGGCAGCUCUGGUGCCUUCUCCAGAAAGGAGCCGCCCUGAGGGCCCCAGGUCUUGGAGGGAGAAAGGCCACGGGCCCUUUGUCCACAGUCUGGCAGACACAUGCUGUCAGCCUGCACCUGUUGCCGUGGGCCUGGCACCGGUACUUAAGCGCCUAGCCGUCAGACAGCUUCGCUCCAGCUCCAGUUUGGCUACUUAUCUUGUAGGGCCCUGGGAGAGCUACUCAUCUAGAGUGUGGGAUAACGUACUGACAUCUGGGCUCAGCAAAUGGCUUGAAUAAGAGGGUCCACAGCAGUAGCCGAUGCUGCAGGUGGUUCCCCCUCCCCAUGAAGGCCCCUGUGGACGUGCCCGCUGCCGUCCAGGUCCCCCGCAGCACUCACUUUGUGUCCCUCCACGGGCCCUUUCUAGGGACACCUGUCCAAGUUCAUGGUUUUUGUGUCUUGUUUGCCCCGUGACUUAGAGCUUUUGUACCCUGUAGGACUUGGCACAUAGGACUUUGCCUAGGGAAGUGUGCAGAUGUGGUUAGUGAAUGAGUGGGUGGGAAAUGAAUGGGUGAGUGAAUGCAUGAGUGAGGGAAUGAAUGAAUGAAUGAAUGAGUAAACAGGUCUCCCUCCAGCCUCUCUGAAAGAGGAUCAUGUGCCGCAUACGAUUAUUGGCCCAAAUAGUUCCCUGGUCUCGGGCUAUUCUCCGGGACGGCUUUGGGAGUGUUCAGACCAAACACCCGUUUUUUUAUGAUUUUUUUCCCUCUCCAUCUUGGGUGCCAGUCACCUCUACAGAAAAAACAGCUCCUUUUCUUAUACUGUUUGAACAUCUCCAGCUGUAAAGCUGUUUGUCAGUGCUUCGGAAUUCUCUGGGCCCCUCUCCUUGUUGCUGAGAACUUUUUGCUGCAGGAAAUCAAGCUCAUUUUAAGGGCCAAACAGUCACUAAAUAUAGCCUCCUGGCACAGAUAUUUAAAGAGCUGUGUUCAUGAUGUUAUGUCUGAACAGAGAAGAUGGAGAAAAUAACCUUUUUUUUUUCUGGAAAGAAGAGUGAAAUUCUCCCAGAUUUUCUGCAGGUCCACAAGAGGCAGAGCAACGGUGUGGCGUCAGUGUCUUAAUAAUGGAAUCACCACCAGAUGUUUGUCUCUAGCCAAGGGCUUGGGUUUAGAUUUCUGUUGCCAGGCAGUCAUUUCUUGAUAAUUCCUUCUAUCUCUGUUUAAAAAUACCUCCUGCCCUGGAGAGUUACCUCGGACAAGCGUGCCCUCCAUGCCAAGCCCAGGGGGGGCAGUGCACAGAGGCGUCAUUCAGACACCCACCCCCAGGACCCACCGGGGGCCGGUGGGGAGCCCAGCCCUUGUCAUUCUCUCCCAAGUGCUGGUUGAUGAGCAGCAGGUGACAAAGGUGGAAGGACUGGGAUGAGGUCCUGGGAUCUUUACUCAUGAGAAGCAACGUCUGGGAAACAGUUCAUGCCUCAGAGAAAGAUCUGGACUGAAAUUCCUCUUGCCCUGGUUUGCAUCCUUUACGGCGUGGGGCCAACACCAUCUCACCUGCUCUCUCCUGUGGCUUCCACCUUGGACAGGAUAAUGUCAAGAGAGUAUCAGAGUUCUGGGAUGAUGCUGUUUUUGUUUAUUUCUGAAAUAUUCCUUCUAGAAGAUAUAAACAGGACUAUUCUGGGAAGCUCUGAACUUUCCUCCAUUGGCAUUUACAUCUCUGUCUUUGGAAGAGAAACAGUAGCUGUUUCUGUGAGAAGUUCUGUGCAGUGACCUCUCACAGUCUUUAUGUGGGUGACGAUGUCUGCAUUUCAUCAUCUCCCUGCCCUCUGCCGUAACCAUGAUUUUGUUGAUACCUACCUGUUGGGUACAGAAACAUCACACAUGCGUGCUAGUAUUAAAAAGCCUACACCAUGUCGCUAUAAAACUUUUCCAAGAAGUUGCUCAACUCCUGGGUUAAAAUUUAGAAACAGUUUAUCCACGAAAAGAGGACAUCAGAGCCCAGAAUCUUCAAACACUGCCAACUCUCAAGGCUUUGGUGAGGAAUGUCCUGAUAACACAGGAUGUGAGAGCUUACGCAUUGUAUCCACCGCAGUUAAUCGGUCUGGGGAAAUUCCCGUGAACCUUCCCUUGCAGGAUAUUGCCACAGAGAGUGUGCGGUUCUGAUAAGGAGACAAAGGACCGUAUAGAGGCACAGAGGUGGUAAUAGGAAAAAAAACAAAACUAUAAAAGAUGGGUCACAUUGUAAGUCAACUAUAUGUCAAAAAAAACUUUGAAAAGUGAAAAAAAAAAAAGAUAGGUCAUUUAAAUGACGGUCAUUCAGGCUUUGUGUAUUUCAGCGGAUCUUUAUGCUGCCCUUCACAGUCUAUGGAAUGUGACGUUUACAUCAAGCAAACCUCCCAACAUUCCACUAAUUUCUGGUCUUGCUGAAAUCAUCCGGGACCUGAUUUUACCCUUUAAAGAGGCAUUUUCACUUUUCUGUUUAAAGACGUAUUAAAACAUAGGAUAAAAGAAGAUUCCAGGCUUCCUAAAAAUAUGUAUCUGGAACUCUAGAAAAUUUGCAUUUCCUCAGUAGUUGAAGAAGCUGCUUCUUAGAGUUGUAGGAGAAAGUUUUGUAAAAAUCGCCGCUAAGGCUAGUCUAGGAAGUUGCCCUGCAGGGCAGCAGGUUAAGCGUCCAGUGUUGUCAUGACUGUAGCUCGGGUUGCUGCUGUGGUGUGGGUUCCAUCCCUGGCCCAGGACCUACCACAUGCUGUGGAUGCAGCCAAGAAAAAAGGAGGGUGGCGCUGGUCUAAAACUAGUUUGUUUCCCACUGCUUUGGGGCCUGAAAUAUCUUCAUUUUUAGAUUCCAGGUUGGCUGUUCAGUCUUCUUUAGUCUCUGCCUCCUCAGCUCAUUUUCUCUUGCUUCCUUCCCCUCUUUUGUUGAGAGUUUUUUUGGCUGGAAGAUUUAUCCUUUCCUACUUCCUUUUUGGCCUAAGAUUCCAUUUAUUUUCAAGGCCAGGUUGAGUGACUAUUUGCUGAUCUUUUAGAGCUUUCUCUUUAGUGCCCAUUCAGCAGAACUGACUCUCCCUCUUGACUGUGGACCGAGUGAUGCAGGAGUGUGGUGCCAUGUACCUGUGGGUACCGUGGUGAGAACAUUCCCAAAGCCAGCAGCCUGGACACCCCCUCCUGCUACCUGAGCUGCUGGGAUACAAGAUGGAGGUGGAAUAACAGGAUGGAACAGAUUUAGGAUCCUGCUACCUUCUCAGGUGUUUUGUUUGUUUGUUUGUUUGUUUUGCUUUUUAGGGCCACACCCGUGGCAUAUGGAAGUUCCCAGGCUAGAGGUCAAAUCGGAGCUGCAGCUGCCGGCCCACGCCACAGCCACAGCAACGCAGGAUCUGAACUGCAUCUUCCACCUACACCACUGCUCACGGUAGCACCAGAUCCCUAACCCACCUUCUCAGGUAUUUUUCUUCAGCACUUUGAAGCUGCUAUUCUUUCGUCUUCAGGCAUUUAAUUAGUCUAAUUGUUAAUCCCUUGUGGAUAAUCUACCUUUUCUCUCUGACAGCUUUCAAGAUUCUUUUAUUUUAAUGUGGUACACCUAUACACACUGGUGUUUUAGUUUAUUGUUUGGGGAACUUAUUUUAGUUUUUACUCUAAUUCUGGAAAAGUUUUAGCCAUUUUCUCUUGGAUUUUUGCCUCUGAUUUUUUUCUUUUUCAAAUUAAAAAUUUUUUAUAAUUUUUAUCUUUUGCAUUAUAGUUGAUUUUCAGCAUUCUGUCAAUUUCUGCUAUACAGCAAAGUGACCCAACCAUACAUAUAUAUAUUCUUUUUCUCACAUUAUCCUUCAUCAUGUUCCAUCACAUGUGACUGGAUAUAGGUCCCUGUGCAAUACAGCAGGAUCUCAUUGCUUAUCCUCUCCAAAUGCAAUCGUUUGCAUCUAUUAACUCCAGACCCCUGGUCCAUCCCAUUCCCUCCCCUUCCCCUGGGAUGUUUUUCUUUAUUCUCCCUUUUGCAACUCUUACUAAGUGCAUGUGGGACUUCUUCUGUUCUCCAUUGUAUUUCAUCUCCCUCUUAUAUUUCCUGUCCGUUUUUCUUUCGGUGUUUUCAUUUUAGCUGAUUUCUCAGAUUCAUAUUCCCAUUCACUAAUUCUCUCUUAAGUUGUAUCAAAACAUAUCCUUUGAUUUCUAGAAUUUCUAUUUGGUUCUUUGAAAAACUCACUUGCUCUCUUUCUACAAUGUCUUAUUUUUGCUCUGUGGCUUCUGUUCCUUUGUUUAUCUUGUUGAAUAUUUUAACAUUCUUAUUUUUAAGUCCCCUUUCAGGGGACUAUUAUUUAUAGUUUCUGGAGUAGUUCAUUCUGUUGCAUAGCAGUUGAUUUUCUGUGUACCUUUUGUCAUUUUUGUCUGUGAGGUCAUUUUGGUGGUGAUUAUAUUCUGUGGGGUCCUGCGUGUGCCUUGUAUUAUGGAGGCGGCCUUUGGGGCACUUUUAUGCUUGCCUCUUCUAGACCCUAUGGGCUCACUUGUUCCAGGUGAAACCUUGCUUGGUUUUGUAGGACAACGUUUCCACAUCGUAUGCGUAGUAGGGACCUUGACAACCCAUGCAGCCCAGGCCGGACACUCUGGCUUCUUUCUGGUCUCCCCACCAAAGGUUUGGGAUUGGAGCUUUGGCCAGGAGUUCUGUUCCAGAUCCCUCCUGCCCACACAGUCAGCAGCUUCAGGUUUGGUCCCUGAAAUUGCUGAUCUGGUUUGUUUAUCCCCCAGCAUGUGGCUUCAGAUCUCAUUUGUCACAGUAGCUUUCUCGUACCUGGAGAUGCUUUCAAGUGCAGCUCCAUGUUAACAACGUUUUUAAAAUGUGUUUUUCCUGGUAUGUCUACAUAUUGUGAGGGAGAGAUCUUAUGUAUGACAGCUUAGUCUGCUCUUUUUCUUUUCCCUGAGUCUUAGUGCCCUACUAUUCAUCUUCUGCCACAUAGCCAGAGAGUUUUCAAAAAAUUAGAUUUGGAGUUCCCAUGUAGCUCAGCAGGUUACAUUGUCACCGCAGGGGCUUGGGUCACUGCUGUGGUUCAGGUUCCAUCCCUGGCCCAAGAAACUCCACAUGCUGUGGGUGUGGCCAAAAAAAAAAAAAAAAAAAA